rnacentral:rRNA from 1 species
GUGAAUCACAUAAACAGCCAGGAUGUUGGCUUAGAGGCAGCCAUCAUUUAAAGAGUGCGUAAUAGCUCACUGGUCGAGUGGUUUUGCGCCGAAAAUGAUCGGGGCUAAAGUAUAUAACCGAAGCUAUGGAUUUGUACCUUCGGGUACAAGUGGUAGAGGAGCGUAGUGCCACGCGAUGAAGGCGUACCGUAAGGAGCGCUGGAGUAGGCACUAGUGAUACUGUUGGUAUAAGUAGCGAAAACUACGGCGAGAAACCGUAGCACCGAAAAUCUAAGGUUUCCUGGGGAAGGUUAAUCCACCCAGGGUUAGUCGAUCCUAAGGCGAGGCUGAAAAGCGUAGUCGAUGGACAUCCGGUUAAUAUUCCGGAACUAGCAAUGAGCGUUAUUACCCACAUGUGACGCAGGAGGAUAAGUGAUCAGACUGUUGGAAUAGUCUGUUUAAAGUUGUAGCCUUGCUUGCAAGGUGAGAGCUGAAUACGAUCUGCGACUACGGUCAAAGAGAAGUCACCAAUUCCAUGCUGCCGAGAAAAACCAUGUGGGGAGUAUCAUAGCUAAUCGUACCUCAAACCGACACAGGUAGAUAACCAGAAUAUGGUAAGGUGCUCGAGAUAACCCUCUCUAAGGAACUAGGCAAAAUAGCUCCGUAACUUCGGAAGAUGGAGUGCCCUUAUUGUUGAGUCCUUUACGGACAAAGGCAUGAGGGGUCACAGUAAAGAGACCCGGGUGACUGUUUAGUAAAAACACAUCACUCUGCAAAGUCGUAAGACGACGUAUAGGGUGUGACACCUGCCCGGUGCUGGAAGGUUAAGGGAAAAGGUUAGGACUUGAUCCGAAGCUUUGAACCGAAGCCCCAGUAAACGGCGGCCGUAACUAUAACGGUCCUAAGGUAGCGAAAUUCCUUGUGGGGUAAGUUCCCACGCGCACGAAUGGUGUAACAACUUGGGUGCUGUCUCUGGGAGGGACUCGGCGAAUUUGUAGUAGCGGUGAAGAUGCCGCUUACCCGCACUAGGACGAAAAGACCCCGGAACCUUUACUGCAGUCUGUUAUUGAGUUUGAGUGUUACUUGUGUAGGAUAGGUGGGAGGCUUUGAAGCUGUGACGCCAGUUACGGCUGAGCCAUUGGUGAAAUACCACCCUUUUAGUAUUUAGACUCUAACUACGAUCUUUGAAUCAAGACAUAGAACAGUGACAGAUGGGCAGUUUGUUUGGGGCGAAUCCCGUCUAAAAUGUAACGACGGGGUCCAAAGGUCACCUCAAACCGGUCGGCAAUCGGUUGUAGAGUGCAUAGGCAUAAGGUGGCUUAACUGUGAUUCCGACAGGAAGAACAGAUGCGAAAGCAGGGCUAAGUGAUCCGGUGGUAGAUCAUGGGAUUGCCAUCGCUCAACGGACAAUAGGUACUCCGGGGAUAACAGGCUGAUCGCGCUCGAGAGUUCAUAUCGACAGCGCGGAUUGGCACCUCGAUGUCGGCUCGUCG